rnacentral:rRNA from 1 species
UACGUAGGGUGCGAGCGUUGUCCGGAAUUAUUGGGCGUAAAGAGCUCGUAGGCGGUCUGUCGCGUCGGAUGUGAAAACCCAGGGCUUAACCCUGGGCUUGCAGUGGAUACGGGUAGACUAGAGGCAGGUAGGGGAGAAGUGGAAUUCCCGGUCGUAGCGGUGAAAUGCGCAGAUAUCGGGAGGAACACCGGUGGCGAAGGCGGUCUCUGGGCCGAUAUUGACGCUGAGGAGCGAAAGCGUGGGGAGCGAACAGG